rnacentral:rRNA from 1 species
UACGUAGGAUCCAAGCGUUGUCCGGAUUUACUGGGUGUAAAGGGUGCGCAGGCGGGCUGGUAAGUCAGUAGUGAAAUCUCGGCGCUCAACGCCGAAACGUCUUUUGAUACUACCAGUCUUGAAUAAGCGAGAGAUCCGUGGAAUUCCGAGUGUAGCAGUGAAAUGUGUAGAUAUUCGGAAGAACACCAGCGGCGAAGGCAGCGGGUUGGCGCUUUAUUGACGCUCAGGCACGAAAGCAUGGGGAUCAAACAGG